rnacentral:rRNA from 1 species
CACGUAGGGUGCGAGCGUUGUCCGGAAUUAUUGGACGUAAAGAGCUCGUAGGCGGUGUGUCGCGUCGGCCGUGAAAACCUGCAGCUUAACUGUGGGCUUGCGGUCGAUACGGGCAUCACUGGAGUUCGGCAGGGGAGACUGGAAUUCCUGGUGUAGCGGUGAAAUGCGCAGAUAUCAGGAGGAACAGCCGGUGGCGAAGGCGGGUCUCUGGGCCGAUGACUGACGCUGGAGGAGCGAAAGC